GGGCUACCCCCUUUUUUUCAGUCGGUUCGCUAUGCAAUCCUGAUGGUUUUCUUGAAGGUGGAGCUGGGAGAAGACGCCUGACUGGAAGACACAGGUUCAGGCUUGCCCGUUGGAUCGAAAACAAAGACUUCACAGGUUAGCAGGUGCCCUGGAGCGAUGAGGUUUGCGUAACUGCCCGCUCUGCACAUCCUGACAGGUUACUGCAACAGCUCUACAGAACAAGGAAUUACAAAAGAAAACCUGACCCCAGUUGGAGGAUACUGGCAUCAGAAAGAGGGUCUGAGGCAUUCUGUGUACAUUCUGUGUAGGCAGCCAGGAGUCAUCAAUGAAGAGCUUGAUCCCAAGCGCAAGGUACUGGAGAAGUCUGGAGCCACACUCACGAAGGGAAAUAUGCCACAUUCCUCUCAGCUCCCCUCGGUGCACCGAGUCCGGAUCCACUGGGGCCUACAUUGUCCGUCUCCGCAUGCCGCCGCCCGCCGCUUCACCGGGGACUAGUGCCGUUACUCCAUUCUGCAAAGAAACACGCUUUGGAAGAGUGGCCGGUGUGGGCUGAACCCCCGCGCCAAACCACGUACACAAACAGCAGCAGAGGGACAUGCUCUGAGAUGCCUCAGAAGGCGGCCUGCAUGUUUAUUUCUCUAAUAUUAUAUUUACUAACUUUAAUAAAUCAACAAGAAACAUUCUGA